rnacentral:rRNA from 1 species
UACGUAGGGUGCGAGCGUUGUCCAGAAUUACUGGGCGUAAAGAGCUCGUAGGUGGUUUGUCGCGUUGUCCGUGAAAACUCACAGCUCAACUGUGGGCGUGCGGGCGAUACGGGCAGACUGGAGUACUGCAGGGGAGACUGGAAUUCCUGGUGUAGCGGUGGAAUGCGCAGAUAUCAGGAGGAACACCGGUGGCGAAGGCGGGUCUCUGGGCAGUAACUGACGCUGAGGAGCGAAAGUGUGGGGAGCGAACAGG